CUUGACGGCAUCCUCCCCGUCGCCUCUUUAUCCAUUCCUUUUAACUGUUCUUCUCGUUGUCGCUUCCUCUACUCCUCUCUUCAAGAUUCCAGUCUUUCACGCUGAUAGGACUGAUGAAAAUACUUCACCAAAUUCUUGUGCACAAAUCAUUGGUAGCUGUAGAAGUGGAGACAGCUAGGAAGGAGGUGGAAAUGGCAGCGGAACCGGUUUUGGAGAAGUGCUUGCAGGAUUGGGAGAUUGUCUAGCCCCUCUACAUCGGUUCAUAU
rnacentral:misc_RNA from 1 species